GUCGAGCGGACAGAUGGGAGCUUGCUCCCUGAUGUUAGCGGCGGACGGGUGAGUAACACGUGGGUAACCUGCCUGUAAGACUGGGAUAACUCCGGGAAACCGGGGCUAAUACCGGAUGCUUGUUUGAACCGCAUGGUUCAAACAUAAAAGGUGGCUUCGGCUACCACUUACAGAUGGACCCGCGGCGCAUUAGCUAGUUGGUGAGGUAAUGGCUCACCAAGGCAACGAUGCGUAGCCGACCUGAGAGGGUGAUCGGCCACACUGGGACUGAGACACGGCCCAGACUCCUACGGGAGGCAGCAGUAGGGAAUCUUCCGCAAUGGACGAAAGUCUGACGGAGCAACGCCGCGUGAGUGAUGAAGGUUUUCGGAUCGUAAAGCUCUGUUGUUAGGGAAGAACAAGUACCGUUCGAAUAGGGCGGUACCUUGACGGUACCUAACCAGAAAGCCACGGCUAACUACGUGCCAGCAGCCGCGGUAAUACGUAGGUGGCAAGCGUUGUCCGGAAUUAUUGGGCGUAAAGGGCUCGCAGGCGGUUCCUUAAGUCUGAUGUGAAAGCCCCCGGCUCAACCGGGGAGGGUCAUUGGAAACUGGGGAACU
rnacentral:rRNA from 1 species